UACGAAGGGGGCUAGCGUUGUUCGGAAUUACUGGGCGUAAAGCGCGUGUAGGCGGGUCUUUAAGUCAGGGGUGAAAUGCCAAGGCUCAACCUUGGAACUGCCUUUGAUACUGGAGACCUUGAGUCCGGGAGAGGUGAGUGGAAUUGCGAGUGUAGAGGUGAAAUUCAUAGAUAUUCGCAAGAACACCAGUGGCGAAGGCGGCUCACUGGCCCGGAACUGACGCUGAGACGCGAAAGCGUGGGGAGCAAACAGG
rnacentral:rRNA from 1 species